UAUGCUCCACCAUCAUCACUACAAGAACUGGAAUCUGUUUUAGCUGAGGAAUGGACAAACAUUCCUUUGGAAACAAUUCAAACUUUGUACGAUUCCAUACCUCGUAGAAUUCAAGCUGUA